rnacentral:antisense_RNA from 1 species
GGGGGAGAAUGGGCAUCCCACCCCAGCACUUUCUAGGAAGGAGGGCAGCAUUUUGAAGGGCUGGAAGUAGAGGAAGGAGGUUGCGGGUAGAAGACUCCAUACUUUCUGUGAUGCCUAUUCCUUAGGAGAGCCUUUAUAUAACCAAAGAUAUUUUUGGACCAUGAAUUCGGAAAUUCUCGGAGCCACCCAUCAGUGCCUGAGCUUCAGUGAGUCCAUAUCCCAUGUCACCCACGGCAAAGGAGAAUCUAAGACUUCUGAAGAGUUUCUUGCUUCUUUCCUGUGGGGCAGUGACUCCACUUCCCAGCAGUAAUGGAAUAUCCUGAAUUAGCUACAUUAAUGUUAGAACCAUUUGGACCUCACCCAGGACUUCAACUACAUUAUGAGUAACUCCUGGACGAUUGGCACAGAAGGCACAAGGUUCUAGUAUGUUAGGUUUAUGUUCCCCUGCUUUCUACAAUCCUGUUCAAAGAGUUGCUGACUUAACCACAGAGAGGAUUCCAGAACAUGAGACACAGAAUAAACUUGAGCAAUCAUAGUCCAUCCACUUCAUUUUCUCAUCAAAAACCAAAGGUCCAGUGAAGCUCUGGAACUCAACGCUGUAAAGGAGCGAAGGAGCUUCUAUACAGAGCCUGGAUGCCUGUCUCCUUAUCCU